rnacentral:rRNA from 1 species
CGNANGCGCACGCAGGCGGUCUGUCAAGUCGGAUGUGAAAUCCCCGGGCUCAACCUGGGAACUGCAUUCGAAACUGGCAGGCUAGAGUCUUGUAGAGGGGGGUAGAAUUCCAGGUGUAGCGGUGAAAUGCGUAGAGAUCUGGAGGAAUACCGGUGGCGAAGGCGGCCCCCUGGACAAAGACUGACGCUCAGGUGCGAAAGCGUGGGGAGCAAACAGGAUUAGAUACCCUGGUAGUCCACGCCGUAAACGAUGUCGACUUGGAGGUUGUGCCCUUGAGGCGUGGCUUCCGGAGCUAACGCGUUAAGUCGACCGCCUGGGGAGUACGGCCGCAAGGUUAAAACUCAAAUGAAUUGACGGGGGCCCGCACAAGCGGUGGAGCAUGUGGUUUAAUUCGAUGCAACGCGAAGAACCUUACCUACUCUUGACAUCCAGAGAACUUAGCAGAGAUGCUUUGGUGCCUUCGGGAACUCUGAGACAGGUGCUGCAUGGCUGUCGUCAGCUCGUGUUGUGAAAUGUUGGGUUNNGUCCCGCAACGAGCGCNNCCCUAA